rnacentral:rRNA from 1 species
AUGGAAGGCCUUCUACACUGGGAUUUCUCGCCCGGCCUUGCGGUUGCGGCUCAGGUGCAUCGUCGUUUUGAAUCUUCUGUUCACUUCUCACCUUCUGGAUCGACCAAGGAGUUCUUCUUGGUUGUCUUCUUCUCGUCGGCUUCUUUCUCUCUUUCUGAAGAAUCGGUGGCCAUUGCACUUCAAUGUUGCAUUGGU